GACGAACGCUGGCGGCGUGCUUAACACAUGCAAGUCGAACGAUGAAGCCCAGCUUGCUGGGUGGAUUAGUGGCGAACGGGUGAGUAACACGUGGGCAACCUGCCCCAAACUCUGGGAUAACUCCUCGAAAGAGGUGCUAAUACCGAAUACGAACUAGGUAGACAUCUGCACUAGUUGGAAAGUUUUUCGGUUUGGGAUGGGCCCGCGGCCUAUCAGCUUGUUGGUGAGGUAACGGCUCACCAAGGCUACGACGGGUAACCGGCCUGAGAGGGCGACCGGUCACACUGGGACUGGGACACGGCCCAGACUCCUACGGGAGGCAGGAGUGGGGAAUAUUGCGCAAUGGGCGAAAGCCUGACGCAGCGACGCCGCGUGAGGGAUGAAGGUCUUCGGAUCGUAAACCUCUUUCAGUAGGGACGAAGCGAAAGUGACGGUACCUAAAGAAGAAGCACCGGCUAACUACGUGCCAGCAGCCGCAGUAA
rnacentral:rRNA from 1 species